rnacentral:rRNA from 1 species
UACGUAGGGGGCAAGCGUUAUCCGGAUUUACUGGGUGUAAAGGGAGCGUAGACGGCAGCGCAAGUCUGGAGUGAAAUGCCGGGGCCCAACCCCGGAACUGCUUUGGAAACUGUGCAGCUGGAGUGCAGGAGAGGUAAGCGGAAUUCCUAGUGUAGCGGUGAAAUGCGUAGAUAUUAGGAGGAACACCAGUGGCGAAGGCGGCUUACUGGACUGUAACUGACGUUGAGGCUCGAAAGCGUGGGGAGCAA